rnacentral:rRNA from 1 species
AGUAACGCGUGAGGAACCUGCCUUUCAGAGGGGGACAACAGUUGGAAACGACUGCUAAUACCGCAUGACACAUUGGGGUCGCAUGGCCCUGAUGUCAAAGAUUUAUCGCUGAAAGAUGGCCUCGCGUCUGAUUAGCUAGUUGGUGAGGUAACGGCCCACCAAGGCGACGAUCAGUAGCCGGACUGAGAGGUUGGCCGGCCACGUUGGGACUGAGACACGGCCCAG